AUUGAACGCUGGCGGCAUGCCUUACACAUGCAAGUCGAACGGUAACGGGCCUUCGGGUGCCGACGAGUGGCGAACGGGUGAGUAAUGUAUCGGAACGUACCUUUCAGUGGGGGAUAACGUAGCGAAAGUUACGCUAAUACCGCAUAUUCUGUGAGCAGGAAAGCAGGGGAUCGCAAGACCUUGCGCUGAUUGAGCGGCCGAUAUCAGAUAGGCUAGUUGGUGAGUGAAAGGCUCACCAAGGCGACGAUCUGUAGCGGGUCUGAGAGGAUGAUCCGCCACACUGGAACUGAGACACGGUCCAGACUCCGACGGGAGGCAGCAGUGGGGAAUUUUGGACAAUGGGGGCAACCCUGAUCCAGCCAUGCCGCGUGAGUGAAGAAGGCCUUCGGGUUGUAAAGCUCUUUCGGCCGGGAAGAAAUCGCACGGGCUAAUACCCUGUGUGGAUGACGGUACCGGAAUAAGAAGCACCGGCUAACUACGUGCCAGCAGCCGCCGUAACAC
rnacentral:rRNA from 1 species